rnacentral:misc_RNA from 1 species
AACGCACGAGACCUGCGGACCUGCGGAGGGAUCAUUAAUGAGAAACUGCCCCUCGCGGGUAGAUCUCCCACCCUUUGUAAACUUACCUUUGUUGCUUUGGCAGGCCCGUCUCCGGACCGCCGGCUUCGGCUGGCCAGUGCCUGCCAGAGGAUUCUAAAACUCUGUCUGUCAGUGUUGUCUGAGUCUAUAUACAAUCGUUAAAACUUUUAACAACGGAUCUCUAGAUCGGAAGAGCAAACG